GAAGCUAUUGGGCAUAACCAGAGGCGACCCCUCUCAUCAUCGUCUCCUUCCCCCUUUGUUGUGUGCACCCCAACCGCCCACCUCUUCUUCGCCUCUCCACUCCGUCGUCCUCACCUCGAUCUCCCUCUUCCUCACGCCGCCGCGACGACAAGCCGAGAUCCGAGGCUCGCCCCGCGUGGAGCUCGACCGAGCCCUACAUCUCAGCAUCCGGGUGCUUUCUUCUAGCGCUUCACGCGGGCGGCGGAAGAAAAUUCAUGAACGACGAAUCGUGCAAUUCUUCUCUUUUGCUGAAUCUCCGGGCGUUUGAAUUCGUGUCCUGCUUUGGAUUUGGAUUUUCCGUCGUUUCCGGGUUUGAGACUCAAAGCAAAAUAGGCAGGAUUUGGUCCUCGACUUGAAGGAAGUCCUGAACUUCUCGGAAUCGGACUCGACGGUUCGCAUUCCAGAACUUCGAGCUGAAUUUCCGAGAGAUUGUCUUUUCUCGCGUUCAACAAGGAUUGAAGCCCCAAUUAGGCUUGAUCGGAGGCGUUCAGCAACGAUUGGAGGAUGAGGAUGCCAGUGCCGCCAGGCGCUAGGGGCACCCCAGCACCAGCUGUACUCGGUGCCGCCCACAGGUUGGGUCAUGGGCUACGACGGCAACGGACAUGGGAAGUUGGGAACAGCAAAUGUGGGGUGAGUGAGAAACCCAGUUUGAGUUUCACAUUUCCAGUAGUAGCAAGCUGGCCUUACUAUCCUUUUGUAUGAUUUGUUGGUAGGACCCGGCGACCUAUGGAAAGGUCUGUGUACCCUUCCUUCACCGUCACCUCUCCAGUAUUAAGUCCAGGAGAAGGUGCUGAACGGGGGGACCAGGGAUGUGAGACUGCUCCUCUUUGUAGAGAUGAAGGGACUUGCGACUGCAGGCUGUAUUGUUAAGAUGUUGACUUUUUGUGGAAACUUUCCAUGAUGGUUGGUUCUCAAAUUACUCAUGGGGAUAGAGCAUUCACCAGAAGAGGAAGGAACUUGGUAUUAACUUUCUGUCUGCAUGUACCGAUACAAAGCACUUAUUCCACACAUGCAAUCCUCUCAUUUCUGAGCAUACUGUGGCGCACAUCAAGAUCUGUGGGGGAAACAGAUUUACUGCACGUCAGCCCUUCCGUUCCAGCAUUUUACUACCAUCCAAGAUUUAGGAAUGGAUUAGUCGGUUUGAGUACAGACACAAAUGAAGGCAUUUUGUGUCCUGGGUAGCACUCAAUGAAAUCUUUGUCCAUUGUUCAUUUUGAUAAUUAUUCAUAUUCUUCUUCGUGGAAUCAAAGAUGCAUGCCCUGCAGUCGCUGGUUGGCAAAGUUUAAAGGGCCAAAGGAUCUGCUGCAAUUCAUAACUCUCAUUGGAAGUGGCUUGCCGCUAGGUUUGAAGAGUUGGUCUUCAUCCAGAGUGCAGUUUGUGGUGUGGUUUUUUCUAAUUCCUCAGCUGCAGACAAGAUUGUAUGCACAGAAUCUUUAAAUAGUUGCUUUGACUCUUUUGUUGCUGGGGAAAUUGUCAGAAUGCUGAUGUUGACCGGCACAAACUUUUGUGGUGCUCCCCUAAUGUGCCAAGAUUUGGCUUCAAUUCAUUCUUGGUUAGUAAUACAUGAUAAAAUCCCUGCUUUAAGAGGGUUAACAGUUGGUCUGUUGGGAAUACAAGAUCUCUCUGCUUGUUCUGUAAUCUAAGUUUUGAAUUUUGCUCCC